rnacentral:rRNA from 1 species
UACGUAGGGGGCAAGCGUUGUCCGGAUUUAUUGGGCGUAAAGAGCGUGUAGGCGGCUUUACAGGUCCGUUGUGAAAACUCGAGGCUCAACCUCGAGACGCCGGUGGAAACCGUAAAGCUAGAGUCCGGAAGAGGAGAGUGGAAUUCCUGGUGUAGCGGUGAAAUGCGCAGAUAUCAGGAAGAACAUCCGUGGCGAAGGCGGCUCUCUGGGACGGUACUGACGCUGAGACGCGAAAGCGUGGGGAGCGAACAGG